rnacentral:rRNA from 1 species
GAUGAACGCUAGCGGCAGGCCUAAAACAUGCAAGUCGAACGAAAUUAAGUGGCUUGCUCCUUAAGAAAGUGGCGCAUGGGUGCGUAACGCCUAUGCAACCUACCUUAAUCAGGGAGAUAGACCGACGAAAAUCGGAUUUACAUCGCACAAAAACACAUAAUAGCAUUAUCCAAUGUUCAAAUCCAUAUAGGAUUAAGAUGGGCAUGCGUGUCAUUAGCUAGUUGGCGGGGUAACGGCCCACCAAGUCGACGAUGACUAGGGGAUCUGAGAGGAUUACCCCCCACACUGGUACUAAGACACGGACCAGACUCCUACGGGAGGCAGCAGUAAGGAAUAUUGGUCAAUGGAGGCAACUCUGAACCAGCCAUGCCGCGUGCAGGAAGACUGCCCUAUGGGUUGUAAACUGCUUUUAUCCGGGAAUAAACCUUUCUACGUGUAGGAAGCUGAAUGUACCGGAAGAAUAAGGAUCGACUAACUCCGUGCCAGCCGCCGCAGUAACAC